UCUGGGACAAGCCCUGGAAACGGGGUCUAAUACCGGAUAACACUCCUGCCUGCAUGGGCAGGGGUUGAAAGCUCCGGCGGUGAAGGAUGAGCCCGCGGCCUAUCAGCUUGUUGGUGGGGUAAUGGCCUACCAAGGCGACGACGGGUAGCCGGCCUGAGAGGGCGACCGGCCACACUGGGACUGAGACACGGCCCAGACUCCUACGGGAGGCAGCAGUGGGGAAUAUUGCACAAUGGGCGAAAGCCUGAUGCAGCGACGCCGCGUGAGGGAUGACGGCCUUCGGGUUGUAAACCUCUUUCAGCAGGGAAGAAGCGCAAGUGACGGUACCUGCAGAAGAAGCACCGGCUAACUACGUGCCAGCAGCCGCGGUAAUACGUAGGGUGCGAGCGUUGUCCGGAAUUAUUGGGCGUAAAGAGCUCGUAGGCGGCUUGUCACGUCGGAUGUGAAAGCCCGGGGCUUAACCCCGGGUCUGCAUUCGAUACGGGCAGGCUAGAGUGUGGUAGGGGAGAUCGGAAUUCCUGGUGUAGCGGUGAAAUGCGCAGAUAUCAGGAGGAACACCGGUGGCGAAGGCGGAUCUCUGGGCCAUUACUGACGCUGAGGAGCGAAAGCGUGGGGAGCGAACAGGAUUAGAUACCCUGGUAGUCCACGCCGUAAACGUUGGGAACUAGGUGUUGGCGACAUUCCACGUCGUCGGUGCCGCAGCUAACGCAUUAAGUUCCCCGCCUGG
rnacentral:rRNA from 1 species